UACGGAGGGUGCGAGCGUUGUCCGGAAUCACUGGGCGUAAAGGGCGCGUAGGUGGCUCGUGAAGCGUGCGGUGAAAGCCCGGGGCUCAACCCCGGGUCGGCCGUGCGAACUGUCGAGCUGGAGCACUGUAGAGGCAGGUGGAAUUCCGGGUGUAGCGGUGGAAUGCGUAGAGAUCCGGAAGAACACCGGUGGCGAAGGCGGCCUGCUGGGCAGUGGCUGACGCUGAGGCGCGACAGCGUGGGGAGCAAACAGG
rnacentral:rRNA from 1 species